UUCUAAGGUCUUCUGUGUGAACAGGCUCUUACUGUUCUCUGUUUCUCAGAAUUGAACUGUACAAUGAUCUGGGACACAAAGGGGAAAAGAAAAGAGGAAACCUAAUUGUAGCUGAUGGCAGGUGACUCUAGUGCGAGUGCUGGCUAACAGACCUGACCAGUGUGCCCCUUGAGAGGUAUGCAAGUUUCACUGGAACAUACUAUGAGUCUACCAUGUUAUGAAACGUACAUUUAAGGAUGGUGAGAGCAGUAACAAGAGAAAACAUAGCAAGUUUAUUGGAAGAAUCUGUUCAAGAGGGCUAAUUCUCCCAAACUGAACAUACAUGGAUACUGAAGAGAAACUUCUAGCUCUGUCUGGAGACACAGUAAGAAAUGCUGUGGCCUUGUGCAACAUUGCAAAGAUUCAGACUGGACAGGUUUGCCUGGAAAAGUAAUGAAGGAUUCAGAUCAUCACCUUGUGUGUUGUUCUCUCCACACAACUUGGAUCAUGGAGCUGGAGCUGAGGGAGCAGGUGAGAUCUUGAAUCCAUUGCAAGCAGAGGAAAUGUUGUGAGGAACUUCACUUGGGCCACACAGUAGGUAGCUGCAUUUCAGCCUCUGAAGCAAAGGUCAGGUAUACUUCGGUCUGAUGGAAACAUACCUUCUGAGAAGAUUUUUGUGAGCAAUGUAAAAGCUUUCUUAUCCUGUGAUCCAGCUUCCAGUACUGCAUAUGCACCUUGAUUACUUUUCUGUGCAGUGGAGUCAUUGUGAAUCAUAGAAUCACAGCAUUGGUAAGUUUGGAAAAGACCUUCAAGAUCAAUAUAGCAGUGAAACUGUGGUUAUGAUUUUCGUGCCUUCAUUGGUCUAAUAUUAACUGUCAAUCAGAUCAUCAUACAUGGAAAAGACUGUUUGAUUUCUGAAGUAUUCUUAAAUUUUUCUUUCAAGUUGUAUUUUUUCCAGCUAGGUUCUAACCUGUCUUUCCAUAUUCUAUUACUAAAAACUAGAGGGACUUUCCUAUAGUACACAUAUGCCUGGUGUAUGCUCCAUGUAGUGUUUGUUUUGCUGUUUCUCAAGUUGAUUAUUUAGUUCACUAAAUGUAAUCAAAUAUAUCCCUUAAUAAUUUAAAAACAAAAAAAAAUUGACAAGUUUAAAAUAUACUACAAAAGAAAAGGAAGUGCCUGACUUGGUUCCCCUAGAUUCUCUUUGAUAAGAGGAAAAAAGUUGUGUCACAUCACAGUUGCACUGUAUAAUCAUUCAUAAAAACAGAAGAUAAGAUGGAAUUCCUAAUGGGUACUCUACUUUGGUCUAAUCAAAGUGUUCCUUCAAGUUAUGACCACUGCUUUGCAAAGAACUUGUUUAGAAAUCUCUCCAGAGUAAAGUGAACCAUGUGGGUUUUGGGUUGUUUGUUCCUUAGGGUUUUUUGUGUGUGUGUGUGUGUGUGCAGCUUUUGCUGUUGUUCUUCUUUUGCUGUUGUUGUUGUUUGUUUGUUUUUUCCUUAAUACCACUGUUCCUGAUGUUCAGACAGUAGUUAAAUUGCCAUAUCUGAUGAGUGCCUAUAAAUGGCUAUUCAUCUUUCUACUCUAUUUCACACUAUAGUAAAAUGACAAUAAAGAAAAAGGGGAAGAAAAAAAAGUUUAAAAAUAGAAGUUGACUUUUGUAAAAAAAACUGCUGAAAGUCAUGCAUUUCAGGAGUUGUUGCAAGGAAUAAGCUAUCUGAUAGGAGUGAUGAUGCAAUGACUUAAAAGGGAGAACAGAUCAUGAAAAGGAGGAAAGAAGAAAGGCAAAAGAAUGACAUUAUGAAUUGAAAGUUUCUGCUUGUGUGGCUUCGCAUCUUCUUGUGGGGUUAGCAAAAGGAAACCACUGGUCUAAGCAGAGAUAUUGAAAUAAAUGCAUAAUUGAAGAACAAGAUGAACAGUUUUUAGGUAGUCUUUACUGUUUCAAAAUAUCUGUAGAUGUUUUAACACACUGCCAUUUGUUACUACAGAGCAACAUUAUAGUUGUUUAUAUCUUCUGGUUGCCAUAAGUACAAACCACUUUCCUCCUGUUUCCUAGCUGUGUUAAUAUUCAUUAGCAAUGCCCAAAUUCGCCAUUUCACUUCUUGUUCUAGAUCGCCCCAAAAGGAAACCACAGCCUACAAUCAUUUCAGGCCUUAGAAUGAAAGUGAAUUUUCUCAUAUAUUUACUAACCUGUUUAAAUGAAAGUUACUUUUAUCAGCCAUCUUCCCCAGAAACAAAUCAAAGCAUAUUAACACUCCUAAUGCAGAAUAAUGAAAGAUCACAACACUUUCUAGCACUGACCAGACCUUAAGUUAAAUAGAAGCAUUGAUUCCAAAAUGUGAUAUUGGCCCAUUGAUGCAAUCAUUCAGCGAGGUAAUUCUCUCCUAAAUUUGAUGACUGUUCAUAGUAGUAACUGAUUUGAUGGUGGUAAUAAUAACAAUAAAAUUAAUAAAAAUAAUAAACUAAUAAUAAAAUUAACAGUGUCAAAUGAAGGUCAUCAGAAAAAGAUAUAAGUAAAAGCUUAUUUCCUACUUAAAUAACCCUCCUAAAUUUCUUAGUAUGUUUUUGAACUUGAAGAAAUGUUCCAGAAUCACAGCACUCUAGUAAAAUAUCUUUCAUCUGUAAAGAAAUCAGUGUAAUUCUUCAUUACCAUGCAGCCAAAUCAGCAAAUAGCAUCAUUCUACACUGAAAUGUAUGAUUGUGCAAUUUCACAGACAAAGAAUUUUAGAUUAUUUGUUCAAGAUCACACAGAAUCUGAGCCAGCAUCCAGAAUUCCUAAGCUCUGCCACAGUACAUUUGUUUUCCCUUCUCUGACACUUCAAAUAUUCAAAGCAGAAAGGAAGUGGAAAAUAUGCUAUGAAAUAAUCCUACUGCAUCAGCUGUAGUGGUAGAAUAACUACUAGUCAGCGCCUAAUGAUUUGCCAUUUUUCAAAAAAGUGGGAGGGCAACUAAAUUGACUGUUUGAUUUACAUCACCAUGAUAAAUAAGUCGGCCUCAAAAUUUUAUAAUUAUUUAACAAUCUGUUUCCAGCUUUAUUAUUCUACUCUGAAUCAAGGACUCUUACAAGUAUUCAUUGUUUGCAAAUUCUAAAUGUUUAGUGAGAUUUUUUCUGUGGACGAUUUAAUUCCAUAUGCAAUUUUAGCACUGUUAACAGCCUGAAGACUCACAAACUGCCUGACCAUAUGUUCUCUUGCUCUUCAACUUUUAGUACAAAAUUCCAAGUAUGCAUUUCAAAAAUAUUUUUAGACCCCUAAACAAAUGUUGUUGCUAUGCUAUGAAUACUCCAUGAAAACAUUUCAACUUUCUUUAAACUGUCUAACGUUUCGAUAGUAAUAAAGAAAUGACAGUAAAAUAGAAGGAGAAGGGAAGAAAAAGGAAAAGAAACAAAGAAACCCAUUUUCUUUCACUUAUGCACUACUCUUUAGCCCCCCCUCCCCCCCGAUGCACACCCCAUUACAGUGGAUGCUCAAUCAAGGUUCCAAAGAAAAACAGUAAAUGAGAUCUAAAGGCAGUAAGAAGUUUGACAAUGAUUCAGUAUUACUUAUUCUAUUUUUGUAUUGAUCCAUUAUCUGCUGCUUUGGUCUAUGCUGCUGACAUAAGUAUCCCAGAAACCCCAAGUUGAAUUCACUUAAAGCUAUUAAAGAUAAUGCAGGUUAUUGUAUGUUCCACUGGAGAAUUUAUAUAGAACACAUUCAAGCUUACAUCAUUCUCUAUUCUCUGGAGACUUUAACCAUUCUCUCUGAAUUUUUUAUUCAAAAAACAUUUAUUAUUUACCUAUGCCAAUGGGAAGAGCUUCCCACUCAGAAAAGCUCAUCGCUUCAGUGUGUGAUUGAGACUGAGUUUUCUUUCCUAUUAACUUAAAAUCAUAAAAGAAAUACUGUUAAACUUGACGUUCAAACUUAUGAAUGGCCUCACCUUAUAUUAUUUGAAAUUUAUCUAGACAUUCCAUUUUUUUUUUUCUUUCUUGGUUUCUUUUGCUGUCAUAGAUAAAGACAGAUACUUAAAGGAUAUUUUACUCUGUGGAAGACUCACUUCAAAUCAACAAGCCUAAGAAUAAGACAAAUACUGUAAAAUCACUCCAAAUAAUCAGAAAAGCAAUUCUAAAUCAUUCUUUAGAAAAGUCUUUUAGUUAGUCUUUUACCAGAUUAUAUUACCACAAGCUGUCCUUUUAACCUCUGGUCCUGCACUGCAGCAUCACACUGUGGAAGGAAAGCAGUCAUGAAUGGAUACCUGCAGCAACAUGCAGGAAUCAUGGUAGGGGACAACUACACUGUGCACUCUGGAGCAUAUAUAUACACCUUUAUUGUCCUAACCACUUUCAUACUAUGCACAAACCAAAAUGACUUGAAAUUAAUCAAAUUCUGCAUCUUGAGAGAUCCAACAGUAACUGAAAUGACAAAAUUCAGGUGAUCCAAUAAGCUUGAGAAGCAUAUGACAGUAUACACUACAAGACAAACUUUAAACUACAGGCUAAAUGAUUAUGCAUGAUUCAUAGCGUUCUGGAAGAAAAAAACAAACAAACAAACAAAAAACCUCAGCAUCCUGAACAACUCAAGGAAGUACAUUAGAAACUUUCUAUUUCUCCAUCUCCACUCCACUGGAACAAAGUAUGCUGAAUCGGGCAAGGAUUUGGACAGAAAUAUUACUAAAUUUAAAUGUUUUCUAGAGAAUAGGUGGAGUAGUUUUCUUUUAAUAUAUUAAUUUUUUUUUUAAUAAAACAUUUUAUUUUAAAAUGAUUAAGAGAAAAUGAGAAAAUAGCUUUCCAUUUUGGGGGAAAAAAAUGGAUGAAAGGACAACUACAACUUUAGGAAUUUUUAAAAUACCAUCAGUAACAUCUUGGACUUCAAUACUACAAGCAAGAUAAAUGAGAGUAAACUAACUUUCACAAUAAGUGGUCUCCCAGUGAAAGAUGCCAAGUGAGAGGGAAUGUAAAGGAGGCAAUUUUGAACAAAUUAGAAUACUUUUUUUUCCAAAGAGAUACAAAUCUCAGGCUUCCUGUACUUGUUUGUAUCCUACUCUUUCACACCAAUCUUGUGCUUAAAUGUUGCUUCUAAACAUUAUAUUCAAAAUCUAAUAUGUUUUUAAAAUACUUCUAAUUUCUGACUAUUAUUGUAAACGUUUAUUAUUACAUUUUCAUCAGCAGGAUUUUUGUUAAACUAUAAUCUAUAAUCCUGUUAGUUUUGACUAUUUUCUGUGGCUGAAUUAUUUAUAGGAAUAAGAAUGUUCAUAGUGACUCAAACUCUCAUUUUUCAUUAAGAUAAAGGAACAAGUUAUAGAAUAAAAAGUAAACAGUAACAACAAAAAAUUAAGCCAGGAAAAUAGAUUCUGAUAGCAAUGAAGUGACUCCAAUGAAAAAUUAUUAUUAAAAUAAACUUCAAAUCCUUGAUAUUUAGCUAUUCACAGCAUGUGUUUGAAAUUAACUAAGGAACAACAUAACCAAUGAUUUCCUUAAACAUAAGUGCUGCUAAAAUGAAAUCCAAUACAUAUUUCUUAUAGCAAUGUAAUAUCCCAUUAACUUAACAUUUCUGAGCUGAACAGAAAAAAGUCCGUUCAACUUCACUAAGGAAUUUAAAAUAGUGGGUUUUUUUUCCUCAUCUGUGGUUACAGUUUUGAAGUGUGUAAAUAAAACUUAUUCAAUUCAUAAUGAAACAAAUUACACAUAGUCUUAUAUGGUGACUCUCUACAUCAAGAAGAAAAUAGCAUAAAGAGCUGUUCUUGAAGAAUGGCCACAAGUAAGUCAAAAGCUUAUGGGUGAGAGUUAGAGACGGAAGCAACGAAGAGAGCCAUGUGGUUGGGAUCUACUACAGGUUACCUGAUAAAGUGGAGCCGGUUGAUGAAAGCCUUCUUCCUCCAGCUACAGGAAGUAACACUAGCUCUCAUCCUGCUGGGGGACUUCAACCACCCUGACAUCUGCUGGAAAAGCCAUAUAGCUAGUGGUAGGUAACACAGGAGGCUCCUGGAAUGCAUCAAGAACAACUUCUAGAGCCUAGUGAUAGACAGCUCCCCCAGGGGGAUACAAUACUGGACCUGUUACUCACCAAUCCAAGUGAACUGACUGGUGACAUCAGGAUUGGAAGAUGCCUGCAGGCUGCGGUGACUAUGCACUCAUGGAGUUCACACUCCUGAGAGAUUUGUGAGAGAAAAAUUAAAACCAGGAUGCUCAAUCUCGGAAUGCUCUUCAGGAAGUUAUUUAACAAAAUCCUCUGGGAAUCUGUCCUCAAGGACAAAGGGAGAGGAACAGAGCUGGAAGAUCUUUAAGGAAGCUUUUCUUAGGGCACAAGAGCCCUCCAUCUCCAGGUGUAGGAAGUCAGGAAAGGAAGGCAAAAGUCUUGCACGGCUGAGUGAGACUAACUGGUCAAUCUGGAGAACAAGAAGAAAAUGGACCAGCAGUGGAAGAAGAGACGGGAUCACAAAAUGAUCCAAGGGAUGGAACAAGAACAGGCUGAGAGAGUUAGAGCUGUUUAGUCUAUUACAGAGAUGGCUCUGGGGAUAUGUGACAGGGGCCUUUCAACAUCUAGAAGAAGACUAUAAGAAAGAAGGGGGCAGACUCUUUAGCAGAAUCUGUUGUGAUAGGACAAGGGGAAAUGGUUGCAAACUAGAGAGAAUAUAACAGGGAAGUUUUUUGUGAUAAGGAUACUGAAGCACUAGAACAGGUUGACCAAAGAGGUGGUGAAAGCCCUGACCCCAGAGGCAUUCAAGGAAAGGCUGGAUGGGACCCUGAGGAACCUGAUCUAGCUGUAGAUGGUCCUGUUCACUGCAGGGGAGUUGGACUAGAUGACCUUUAAAGGGUCCCUUCUGUAACACAAUGGUAAGCACAACAGUGACAGAGAGCACCAAGAUUCCAGGCCACAGCAAGUUAGGAUUCACUCAAACACAACAAUGAGCACAAAAAAUAAGGGAAAGACGCUGCUUACCUUCAGAAGGCCUCAGAUAUAUAGCAAUCCCCAAAAGCCUUACCUUCAAUGCCAACCCUUAAAUGAGAUCUGGGAAGAGGUGGAUCCUGGCUCCACCCAUUCCGGUCACUCAGGGGCCCUGCAUGUAUCUGAACUCCCCUGGGUUGGCCCUGCCUUCCUCCAGGUGCUCAGUCACUCUUUCAAGCCAUGACUGAGCAUUUUCACUACGCCUACACCUUCCAGCACAAAUGAUUGUAUGACUGUGAUUUUAUGAUACACUGAUAACUACUACUAUAAUUGAUCGGCAAUCUCUGAGAAAUACCUACACCCAAUGAAAUCCACAAGCAAAAUAAUAGAGGUGUACUUUUGUUCAAAUUCUUUUGUUUUUUUUCCUCUGUUUCCUAAUGGUUAUUCUUAAAGGGAUUUGUGGCAGACUAAUCUAUUUCUCUGAUUUUUAAAUAAACCUACCACAUGAAAUGCUUUGUCCUCUUUUUGAUGCAGAAGGCACAGUUGUGUGGUUUUUUAAAUUCUUUUGCAGUAAUAAGCAUUUUGACAGAGACCAGAUGACUAAGCAAACCAUUCUCUGUCAUUUUUAUGGAUCAUAUGAUAGAAAGUGUGUCGUGUUUAUUUUUUGUCUUUUCUCUUUCUCAGCUACUUAUUGGAAUAUUCAUUACUGUUUCUCAGUUACUGUAUCAAUUGAUAGGAAGAACUGUUGAGAGUCUAUGUAUGUCAAAGACUGACCACAGUCUAACUUGGAAUGCAGGAUAUCCUAGUCAUACCACUUACAAGAGAACCGGGUACAUUUUUCUUCUUAAAUAGCAGAAAUUUAUAUGGAUAUGACUUAUGUGAAAAUGAGAUUUUACUAUGGCUAUUUAGUUUCAUGUGUUUUGAAAUAAAUUGACAGUGCUAUAGAAACCAAAAGCAAUGGAAAUUUCUGUGGAAAAACAAAACAAAACAAAACAAAACAAAACAAAACAAAAAACUGUUGUGUAUUCCCACUUCUGUAGACAGUGUAAAGAAGUGAGAAGGCAUGGCUGUAUUUGUGCUUCCACAUACAGCUGCCACAGGCUAACAAAUAUCCAGUGAGAAGUGUAUGUUGAAAGAAAUGUACGUGUGCUAAUAUUUAAUCUCAGAAUGGCAUUGCAUUUUUCUUUUUUCUAUUGAUGUUUAUUUUACUCAGUCUCACUAGAGAGUUCUGUUACUGUUUUUAUGUUACAGUUCUUGUGCUUUAGGAAAAAGAAUCUAAAGCCAAGGGGGCUAAUGUUCUUCUAUUUUAGAGCUUUUCUUUUCCUGAAUGCAUGCAUGUAGCUACAAGUAGCAAGAGUGUUUAUUGCAGUUGACUGUGUUUCUAAAAAGCAGAUGCCAAGGGUGCUUUGAACCCUGCUUCUCACUGUUUUCAGACCACAGAACACCGUGCAAGUUAUGAAAUCUGUCAAGGAGCAAUUUCCCUUCUCAGCUUCAUAAUUCCUUUGUUGUGCUUAUGCUGAGUGACAACAUCAAGCUAAAACAGUACAGAUUAACAAGGACAUGUAACUUAAAUAAACUCAGAGUCGUGGAUAGGUUCAGUUGUGUGGUUAUCUUCAACCUAUGGUCUUUUUCAUCUGUUGUUCUCUAGUGUAGAUGUAACGUGCUCCUGGAAAUAAUCUUUAAACUGGCAACCAAACCUUGAGAAUCUGACCAUCACUGCACAAAAAAAAAAAAAAAAAAAAAAAAAAUCAGUCCUUAUAUUUUCUUUAUUAUGAAUAAUAAGGACUCUCAUGAACCAAGCUUGGUCCUUGAAUGUGUGUUUUUCUCCCAUGAAAAACACUGUAGCAGAGAGAAGGUAGCAAGACAACAAAAUGGUGAAAAUCACACCUAUAUGGCAAUUUUAUUCCUUUAGUCAUUAAUACUGCAGAACAAGACUGAGAACCAUUAGGCUGUUUCAUCAAGUUCUCACCAUGAGGCUCAACAGAUCUCUUCUGACCAGAAGGAGAAAUGCCACAAGGAAAAUUCACAUGUAGGGUGGUGUAUGAUAAAUUCUGUCAAGGGUCUUACUUUGUUUGAUCAUGUAAUUUAUGUCUAUACAUUAAGAUACCUCAUGACCAAAUGACACUGACAGGCUCAUGACUGUGCUGCGUACACGUUGUCUCCCAUUGCUCUGCAGCAGAUGAACCCAAGGAAGCCCAAGCCCAGGAAGAAGCUGGAAACCCCAAAACAGAACUGAGAAGCAAGCUAAUAACUGUGCAACAGAGGCAAACAGGCAUCUGUCUCUUUAACUGGAUCCUGACCUUCUUUGUUUAGCAAUGCAAACAUAUAAUAAUGGCUUGAACAUGGGGUUGCAGGCCACAUUAGGAUUUGGAAACUAGCUGGCAGCACCUGAUCAAACACAGCCUCAAACCCUGCUUUGGUUUUGCGAAAUCUCCCACCUAAUUAUUUUUAUUUGAGCCUACUCUAGCUCCUGUAGCUUAUACAUGAAAGUCACUUCAUUUAUCUCCCUGUUCAUAGAGAAAAAGAGGAAGCCAAAGAGAUAAUUGUGACUCAGAUAAUUCUGCUGGAGUGGCACAUUUAUAUUUUUUAUUUAAUUUUCAGUAUUACAAUUAAAGUCAUAGCUUCUAAGUAAAUCUGAUAUACUGGUCUUUUCUAACAUAUUUAUUAGCUGACUUACACAUUCCAGUAUCAGUCCCGGGAAAGUACAGAUUUUUUGACUUCUCAGAUUCUGUAUGAACCUAAAGCUUGUGAGAGAACAAAAGGGGAAAACUUUACCACUCUUAUCAGAUGGUAGACUGUCCAUUUGGCAUUCUGCCUGGAAACUUGCAAACUCAAUUAAAUGCACAUAUGGUCCAUAGCAGGCAGAAUCAUUUUUUGCCAACACACGUUCCUCUUAUGGCACUUCCAAACUGUACCCAUGCUAGAUAGCUUUUUCCACAUAGGUGAUUUUUUUCCACUUCUCCAACAGCAGCAACUCAGCAUAUUGUAUUUUCUGCCCUGGAAGAAUACAGGGAAGAAUGCCAAGAUGAACAUCAGUUUGAACUCCAUGGGGGUGAUUUUGCUAUUGAGGAGCUUUUGUUGAGGAAGACAGGUAUGGAGAUACCUAGAUUUAAUGAGCAGUGCUGGUAGAAUUAAUAAAUCUUUUCAAUACUCCCUGAAGCAGCUGCUCUCUUUUGAAAUAAUGAGCAUAUGGUUUCAUUAUAUUUCAUUGAUUUGAUCCCCUUCAGCUAAAGAAAUAUUUCAGUGGAAUGCAAACAACUUACAGAAUUUCUGCAUAUUUCUCACCCUUUUUAUUUUUCCUGGCUAAACAGAAAGCUGACUAGCAUGUAAAAGGAAGAGCUAGAGGCAGCAUUCCUAUUCCUUAAUAGGGGUUGUAUGAGGGGCAAUGGGGCCUUUGACAAUAAUGAGGACCUGUGUGUGCCUUGAAGCUACAGUGCUUGGGGGUUCCCUUUAAGGUUUGAUUGUGUGGAAGAAACUGUGUGAAAGAAACAAGAUCAAGCUGAACUAACCCUACUUAUAAGACAUAGUCUUUACAUAAAAAUUUUCUCUAGAGGUAGGGGAUAGGCAGAGAAGAAGGUGAGAAUGCAUCAAAAUGGCUUGUUAAACCAACAUGUUCAAACUUCGUAGAAAGAAAAUGUUGCAGGAUAGUUUUAAAUUGUCUUUGAGAACAAACCUUUCAAAGCAAAGAUUUUUUUAUUUUCUCAGUUGCUGAAGACGUCUCCCCACCCAGCUGUUUUGAGGAGAAACUGCAUUCAGUAUUUUAUCCACUCUACAUCUUGCUACUGACAUUAGAAAACCAAAUUCUGAAGUGAAAGCAAAGUGAAAGUCACCUGCAGUUUUUUUUUUGUUUGUUUUUUUGUUUUUUUUCUGUAAGAUCUUUCUGGAAUAUGAUUUCUGACAGCUGCAAGCUCACAAGCUAUCUUUUUGCAGGUGCCAAAAUAAAUAAGGAAAACUUGCAUAUGUUUUCAUUAGGAAACUGGGUAGAUUUGGCAGUUCUGGGCUCUCUAGGAAGGGAACCAUUCCUGGAAAAGCUGGUGACUGAUAGAGAGGUGCUAUACUGCGCUCUCUCAACAGUGGGGAAGAUGUAGAGCCUGCUUCUGGUUACUUGGCUCUAUUCCUUAUUCAUUGCCACUACAGCAUUCUUCAGUAUACAUACAUUUGUACAUUCCUCCUUUAUAUGCACAUUUGUGUAUGAAUAUAUGUUGGUUUAAAUAUACAUAUGUACAGUAUAUUCAGUAGACUUUAUAGUUUUUGUGAACAGCAAAUCACAUAAUGACAGUUCACAAGAUUGUAUUUCUUCUCCAGAAAAAAACACUGCAAUAUUACAGAAAGUACUUCAGUUUUUUUUUUCUAUAUUUUUCCUUUAAUAAAAUCUGAUUAUUUACAGACAUUUUCCCAUUGUGGUAUUUCAGAAGGAAAACUAUCCAGUUGUUUUGUAAUAUUGUAUUAACUUAAUUUUUCAUCUGAUGCAAAGGCCUAGUAUUGCAUCAUGUAAUUAUCGAUGUUUUGAAGCCAAAACAAAAGAAUUCACUUCCAGAUCUUCACCACAUUUGAACCAAUAAGCUCUAAUUGUCCAUUCAGGCCUAUGAGUUGCAAUGUCAUGAGGAAAUUCAUGGUUGCAUUUUUCAUACACAAGAACUCAGUGGUUUUUAAAAGAGCUUAUAUACUUCAAUUUCAUAAAGUGGUCUGUGUUUUGAUGGAUUGCAAAUUGAUACUAAGAUCAGUCAAAGUAAACAUUUUCUCUCUUACAGCAAGCAAAAUAAACUUGAUUAUCAGAAAAACUGUAACAAUUUCAUCAAAAAUGUUCAGCAAUUAGACAGUUUUAAGGGCAGGGGACAUUAAUUUCUUAAAUGUUCAUCUGCUAUGAUUUCAAAUGAAAUUGCAGAUGAAUGUUUAACAAAUUAAUCUCCCCUGCCCUUAAAAUUUACCAGAAAUAAGACAUUUUCUAUUGAACCAAAUCACAAAACUUGUUUCAGCCUCUGUGGUCCUGCAGAGAUUGCAGUACAGUGAUGCCUGCUCUUUAUUUCUGGCAUGGAAGUAGCAGGGAGACAGAUGAAUGCAGAGCCUCUCUUUUUGUGGCAUAAUCCAUACAUUAUUAAUUUUUGUUGUUGUUGCUAUAAAGCUGUGAAAGAGAUGCUGUUCUGAAUUGAGCAUCACCAUUCCGAUAUGAACAGACGCAGUCCCUGAGCUACCCAGUCAACUAAUUAAUGCUGCAUAAUUUAAUAAAGGAUGGUAAUUAGUCAGUUUUCCCCAUCUUGUUCCCCUUCCUGCUAAUGAUAACAUUAUCGAGCUGAGGCAGGGUGUAGUGAGUGUGUGUGUGUGUAUAGGGAGAUAGCUUACAAUGAAGGAGGAUGAGUAAGCAGAUGAAGCUGGAAAUGGUUCAGUCUAUGAUUAUAAAAUCUUCUGAUUUUGUGUUUAGAGAGAACCUCCAGAAUGUCGAAGUGAGAGCAGAAUAAAAAGCAACAAUGAAACUUGUUAAAAGAUGUAGGUGUAUUGUAGAGAAGAAAUAAUUUAAUAUUCCAUGCAACUGUUUAUUAAAUAUUACUUUACUUUUUUUUAUUGUUAUUAUUAUUCUAGUCUUAGUAAGGAGGCAAAGGUUGAAUAUACUUGCAGAAAGAAAGCAAAAGACUCCUCCACAGACUCUCUCUCCCUUGCUACCUCUGAAUGGACGAUGAAGGAUGUCAAUUACAACAGUAUCAAACUCACUACUAAAGAUAGUCUCUUUAGGCAUUCUUCAGUAGUCCUGCCAUAUGGCACAAGCUUCUCUUCAUUGAAAGGAAGAUGCCAAAAGGUGUUGGAAGCAGCAGUACGUUAAUCCAGAUGUAUGAAAACAUCUUGGCUCAUAAAUUCUCUUUUACGUAGAACGUUUGAGAGGAGUCUUAGUAUUCCUCUAUAUUCUUUGUUAAAUUAACAUUACUCAAUUCAUUGCAGGGUGCUCAGAAAAAAAAAAAUCCAAAUUGUUAAUUUUUUUAUUCAUUUAAGCAUUUUUCAGACUAAAUUUUUAAAAAUUAAAAAGAUACCAAACAGUUGAAAACCAUAUUAACAACUGUGCUGCUGGCAAAAUCUGAGAACACGAAAAUGAACAGUGUUUUCUGAGUUAACAUUUAAAAUUUACAUUCAUUACAUUAUUAUCUUGGAAUCUCAAUAGUUGUUUUUAAUGUCAGAAUUUUUAACUUAAUUUAGAUCCUAAAUGUCUUAUUUAGGAAAAGCUGUUAAAUAUGUAUGGUAAAUUAAAUUAUUCAUUAAUCAUCUACAGACCUUUUUUUUUUAAUAAUAAUUUCUACUAUAAACUCAAGAGUACUGUUUAAGUGGUGAAUUUAAAUUUAAGAAAUUAUGCAUGACGCUCUUUUUCCUAUAUUUUCCAUAUAUAUAGGAAAAUAUUUUCAGGCCAUAAAAUACUCUGAAACAUAAAUUAAACUGAUUUCAGUUGCAGCUAUGUAACAUUUUGUUAAAUCAAUUCAUAUAGCCUAAGCUAUCACAUUCAAUCAAAUUCUAAAUGCUCAUACCCUUCUUUUGAAGUGGGAGCAAGGAUACUAUAUCUCAGUGGGCAAAGAAAUAAUAUCCUCUCUUAUCUUGUGUGGGUUUUUGGAGGCUUUGUCACCUGGGCCUCUUAAUUAUAUUUCUACUGAGCCAAUUUAGUACUAGUUUGUGAUAAAAUAAUUACUUCCUAUCAUAAAUUAAAAUUCUUCUCUAUUUCUUAUUUAUCUAAGUGUGUUUGGCAGGCUGAUUUGAGUUAGAAUCUGUAAAGUUUUUUUCUUUAUUUUUCCUGAUUAUGGAAAUUAAGAAAGUAGAAGGCCUCCCCAGCUUAGACAUACCAUGUCUGGCAUGGCUUUAUGGGAAACACAUGGAAGAGAAAGAAGAAAUCAUAGAAUCAUAGAAUAGCUUGGGUUGGAAGGGACCCCGAAGAUCAUCACGUUCCAACCCUUCUUCCAUAGACAGGGCCACCAGCCUCCAGAUCUGGUACUAGACCAUAUUGCCCAGGGCCUCAUCCAAUCUGGUCUUGAAAUAUUCAGAUGUUUUGUUUCUCUUUGUUAAAACAAUGCAGACUACAGAUUAAGAAUAUCUAUGCACCUUCUGCAAUUGGGCCAAAGGAAAAAAAAAGACACUAAAAAAACUAAUUUUCCCCUUCUAACCUUAUUUCCCACCAGUCUAUUAAUAUGAGUGUGGCUCCAAAAGUAAUGCCUCCUAUUUUAUUAUUUUGGUCUAUGACAUCACGGACAGAUAUUGGUGGCAAUGCAAUAGAAGGUGAACCUUCCCACAAUAUUCCAUUGCAUUUUGUUGCCAUGUGAUCAUUCUAAGACUAUUCUAAGACUCCACAAGUCUCUGGUUUUGUUGAACAAAUCUCUUGAGAUUGCAAAUGCUUGAAGUACCAGAGUAACAUAAAUCACAGCUCCUUAUCUUUAGGAAAAUAAAACAAUUUUUAAAGAAUUUUUUUUUUAAAGUAUACUAGAAAUUGCUAUGCAGAAUUUGAUGAAGAUCACCAAAAGCGUAUAUUCUGUGAUGUUUAAGAAAUAAAAGAUAUUUAAAUUAUAUGACCAGAAAGUGACAUCUGUGGUUUAAUGACAGUUGGAAUAGAGUUUUGUCUACCAGUCACUCUGGAUGGGACAGUCACACUUACAGCAUUAGACUAAACAAAGAAAUUUUAAUGCAUGUAUUCUUAGAAUCAUAGAAUGUAGUGAGUUGGAAGGGACCUCAAGAAUCACUAAGUUCCAACUCCUCUGCCGCAGACAGGGUUGCCAUCCACUAGAUCAAGUACAUGACCAGAGUGCCCAGGGGCCCAUCUAUCUGACCUUAAGGAAUAUCAGUGUAAAUCUCCCCAUGUUUAACAAUAGGAAGAGACCAGGUUAAAGGCUCUAAUAACAAGAUCAAGACUGUUUAAGUUAAAUACAAAAUUCUUAAAAGCACUUCAAUUUCACCAGAAAGUUUAACUUUCUUCAUUUCUAGGAGGUACUAGAAACCUGGUAGCUAAAAUGUUCUUACAAUGCAUGGUCUCAAACAAGUAAGACACAAGUGAAGUCUGAAAAGAAUCAAAUCAUCCUGGCUGUAGAAGUUAAAACAUUUUUUAUGAAAUAAAUACUGCCAAUUUCUAAUGAUUUAGAGGGAACUAAGUAUACUUGGAUCAGAAAAAUGAGGACUCCUUAAAAUGUUAUUAGGAAUUAUAUUCAUGAAGUGUUGAACUGCCUGACUUGUGAGCAAGAUGUGAAGCUGCUGGAAUCCCAUGAAUGGUCUUGGACCAUGGUUUUCCUCUCAUUAAAAGAGACACUGGCAUCAGUUUAGCAAUAAACGUAUGCAUGCACUGAAUUACAAACACCUGCUUUGUAAAGUUUAUCUCAGUAUAUCCAGUAUGUCAAGCAGAAACAAUCGUCAGAGAAGCCUGCUUGAAAUCACUCACAAACAAAAUAUAGCUCAAAGUAGAGUAAUCUCAACUCAAAAUCUCAUUAAUGUAGGUGAACAAAAAUUAUACUUGGGUCAUUCCAAACAUAAUGUCUCCCAUUUAUUUUCAUGGAAACUUCAACAGAUAUAAUAAGCACAAUAACACUAUUUGAUGGAGCAAAUUCUCAACUACAAAGCACUAUUUUUCAAUAUACUCACCAUCAUUAGCUAUGUAUUUUCACCAGUUAUGAGCACCAGACUGCAUGCCAUGCUUCUGAAAAAUCUGCACUGUUUGAGGUGAUCCACUCUUUCAUAGAUGCUGUGAUGGCCUUGUUGCUAGGAAAAUCACAGAAUCAUAGAAUCACCAAAGUUGAAAAAGAGCUACAAAAUCGUUCAGUCCAACCGUCCACCAAUAGUUCUCACUAAACCAUAUCCCUCAACACAACAUCUAAACUUUCCUUGAGCACCUUCAGGGUCAAUGACUCCACCAGCUCCCUGAGCACCCCAUUCUAGCACCCGAACAAUCUUUAAGAAAAGCAGUAUUUCCUAACGUCUGGCCUGAAUCUCCCCUGGUGCAACUUGAGGCCAUUCCCUCUAGUCCUAUAACUAGUUGCACGAGAGAAGACGCCAACCCCCGCCUCACCACAACCUCCCUUCAGGUAGUUAUAGAGAGCAAUAAGAUCUCUCCUGGGCCUCCUCUCCUCCAGGAUGAAAAAUCCCAGCUCAUUCAGCUUCUCCUCGUAAGGGCUGUGCUCCAGACCCCUCACCGGCUUAGUUGCCCUUCUCUGCACACACUCCAGGGCCUCGAUGCCUUUCUUGCAGUGAGGGG
ensembl:lncRNA